CAUUAAGUGGCUGAAAGCAAGCAAUGAUCUCUUAAAUCAAUAUAUAAUAUAUUAGCAUAUAUUCUUAAUGA
rnacentral:tRNA from 3 species